rnacentral:ncRNA from 1 species
AGGAGGAAGGGCAUAGUAAUCGACAUAAUACUUCGGGGAGUUGAAAAUCAGCAUAGAUUCGGAGAUUCCCGAAUAGGGCAACCUUUCGAAUUACUGCUGAAUCCAUAGGCAGGCAAAAGAGAACCAGGCGAACUGAAAGAUCUUAGUAGCCAGAGAAAAAAAAAGCAAAAGCGAUUCCCGUAGUAACGGCGGGAGAAAUGGGAGCUGCCUAAACCGUGAAAACAGGGUUGUGGGAGAGCAAUACAAGUGUCGUGCAGCUAGGUGAAGCAGCCCGAAUGCUGCACCCUAGAUGGUGAAAGUCCAGUAGCCGAAAGCAUCACUAUCUUAGGCUCUGACCCGAGUAGCAUGGGGCACGUGGAAUUAAUGGAGCACAUAUUGUAGAA